GCGCUUUCCUUGACCCGGCGAUGGGACUAUAUUCGUAAACGCUGGCUUGCCGGCUAUGGCGAUAAACGCCUUGUGGAAUAAGCGUAGCGGACCCGGGGGCAGUGCCCGGCGCCUCCACCAAUUCCCGUUUUCUCCGGACCCGGUCCGGAGCCCAUAUGGGGGCGAAACAGGAUCGACGCGCGUGGUAAAGGCUUGGUUUUCGCCCGGCAUGGUACCGCCGUUAUCGGGCCGAUUUACAGAUGCCAACGAUAACGAGGCAUUUGCUGUAGCCGCCUAAGGCUGCAACGGGGUCCGGGGGGCACCUGGCAACAGAAGCCCCUCACU
rnacentral:tmRNA from 1 species